UAGGGAAUCUUCCACAAUGGACGCAAGUCUGAUGGAGCAACGCCGCGUGAGUGAAGAAGGUUUUCGGACCGUAAAGCUCUGUUGUUGGUGAAGAAGGAUAGAGGUAGUAACUGGCCUUUAUUUGACGGUAAUCAACCAGAAAGUCACGGCUAACUACGUGCCAGCAGCCGCGGUAAUACGUAGGUGGCAAGCGUUGUCCGGAUUUAUUGGGCGUAAAGCGAGCGCAGGCGGAAGAAUAAGUCUGAUGUGAAAGCCCUCGGCUUAACCGAGGAAUUGCAUCGGAAACUGUUUUCUUGAGUGCAGAAGAGGAGAGUAGAACUCCAUGUGUAGCGGUGGAAUGCGUAGAUAUAUGGAAGAAUACCAGUGGCGAAGGCGGCUCUCUGGUCUGCAACUGACGCUGAGGCUCGAAAGCAUGGGUAGCGAACAGGAUUAGAUACCCUGGUAGUCCAUGCCGUAAACGAUGAGUGCUAAGUGUUGGGAGGCUUCCGCCUCUCAGUGCUGCAGCUAACGCAUUAAGCACUCCGCCUGGGGGAGUACGACCGCAAGGUU
rnacentral:rRNA from 1 species